rnacentral:rRNA from 1 species
UCGAGCGGACAGAUGGGAGCUUGCUCCACUGAUGUUAGCGGCGGACGGGUGAGUAACACGUGGGUAACCUGCCUGUAAGACUGGGAUAACUCCGGGAAACCGGGGCUAAUACCGGAUGCUUGUUUGAACCGCAUGGUUCAAACAUAAAAGGUGGCUUCGGCUACCACUUACAGAUGGACCCGCGGCGCAUUAGCUAGUUGGUGAGGUAAUGGCUCACCAAGGCAACGAUGCGUAGCCGACCUGAGAGGGUGAUCGGCCACACUGGGACUGAGACACGGCCCAGACUCCUACGGGAGGCAGCAGUAGGGAAUCUUCCGCAAUGGACGAAAGUCUGACGGAGCAACGCCGCGUGAGUGAUGAAGGUUUUCGGAUCGUAAAGCUCUGUUGUUAGGGAAGAACAAGUACCGUUCGAAUAGGGCGGUACCUUGACGGUACCUAACCAGAAAGCCACGGCUAACUACGUGCCAGCAGCCGCGGUAAUACGUAGGUGGCAAGCGUUGUCCGGAAUUAUUGGGCGUAAAGGGCUCGCAGGCGGUUUCUUAAGUCUGAUGUGAAAGCCCCCGGCUCAACCGGGGAGGGUCAUUGGAAACUGGGGAACUUGAGUGCAGAAGAGGAGAGUGGAAUUCCACGUGUAGCGGUGAAAUGCGUAGAGAUGUGGAGGAACACCAGUGGCGAAGGCGACUCUCUGGUCUGUAACUGACGCUGAGGAGCGAAAGCGUGGGGAGCGAACAGGAUUAGAUACCCUGGUAGUCCACGCCGUAAACGAUGAGUGCUAAGUGUUAGGGGGUUUCCGCCCCUUAGUGCUGCAGCUAACGCAUUAAGCACUCCGCCUGGGGAGUACGGUCGCAAGACUGAAACUCAAAGGAAUUGACGGGGGCCCGCACAAGCGGU